CAACAACAACAAGCUAGCCAAAAUCAAACACACCAGUUCAAAAGAUCGGUAAGAAGUGAGCUCCCAAUGCAUGAUCAGGAUUUUCUUGGAAACGGGAACGAGGCUUAAAUUGGCAAAUACCUGACAUUUGUUUGUGCGACAAUGCGACAGUAAACACAGGUCUUAAUCAACAUAUCCCGGUACGUGUAACCUCACGAAGCCCCCACUGUACUGUACCACGUUACUCUUUUA